UUAUUUUGUCACCUUAUUUACACGGUAAAAUAUGACAUUUUCUGAUGGAAUCCUCUCCUAGCAUAAAGCACACAAGAAGAAGCUCCAAAACAGAGAUGCAGCGGAAUGGAAAUUGGUGCAGUGAAAUGGAUGAUUCAUAGAAGGUGUUUGAUGAAAGUUUGGAUGAAGGUGUGGUGUGUGUAUGAUGCCUCCAAGCUCAGACGGCCUUCCUACUAAGGAAGGAAGCUAGAGGAGAGUAUCUGAAUUCCAAAUUCAGAGGUGACUAAGGGAUAUAAGAGGCUGAGCAAGCAACUCUGCAGCAUUUCAUUACAUCCAAAAGUGAUUUCAUAUGCCAAUACAUCUCAUAUUUAUAGUGGAAGACCUAUACUAUUAAUGAUGCAGAUGACAACGGUGGAGGUGCAACAAAUGCUUCAGCCAAAUCACGUAUCAUUUGCUUGUGACGUUGCAACAGACUCACACCAACGUGGGAGUCAUGUGUUUUCAUGAUGCAACUCCUUCAUUACUAAGCUCACCCCCUCCCUUUGUGUAAAAUGACUUCUUUAUCCUUCUUCUUGGGUUGGUUUGGUCCAUGCUAAGUCAUCUAGUUGAUCCAUGAUCUCCUAGCUUUAUUAGACCUACAAAACACAUAUAAACAUAUUAAAGAGAAUCCUUCUAAGACUUAGAAAAAGAAAAUCAAGAAAGAGCUUUUAAUAGUCCUUCUUCACUUCCCUUUCUUAGCCUUAGCUUUAGUUGAUACUCCUUUGAAUGGAAUGCCCUCAAUGGGUUUCCAUCAUUUUCUCCAUGCCUUAAUUUUUUUUCU
rnacentral:lncRNA from 1 species